rnacentral:rRNA from 1 species
UACGAAGGGGGCUAGCGUUGUUCGGAAUCACUGGGCGUAAAGCGCAUGCAGGCGGAUUGUUAAGUCGGGGGUGAAAUCCCGAGGCUCAACCUCGGAACUGCCUUCGAUACUGGCAAUCUUGAGUCCGAGAGGUGAGUGGAACUGCGAGUGUAGAGGUGAAAUUCGUAGAUAUUCGCAAGAACACCAGUGGCGAAGGCGGCUCACUGGCUCGAUACUGACGCUGAGGUGCGAAAGCGUGGGGAGCAAACAGG